AGCAGCCGCGGUAAUUCCAGCUCCAAUAGCGUAUAUUAAAGUUGUUGCAGUUAAAAAGCUCGUAGUUGAAUUUCGGGAUCAAUAUGUUGGUCGUGCCUUGGUACGUACUGGCAUUAUCGAUUCCUACCUUCUGAAGAACCUCGAUGUCAUUAAUUUGGUGUCUUGGGGAAUCAGGACUGUUACUUUGAAAAAAUUAGAGUGUUUAAAGCAGGCUCGCGCUUGAAUACAUUAGCAUGGAAUAAUGAAAUAGGACGUUUGAUUCUAUUUUGUUGGUUUCUAGGAUCGACGUAAUGAUUAAUAGGGAUAGUUGGGGGCAUUAGUAUUCAAUUGUCAGAGGUGAAAUUCUUGGAUUUAUUGAAGACUAACUACUGCGAAAGCAUUUGCCAAGGAUGUUUUCAUUAAUCAAGAACGAAAGUUAGGGGAUCGAAGACGAUCAGAUACCGUCGUAGUCUUAACCAUAAACUAUGCCGACUAGGGAUCGGAUGAUGUUAAUUUUUUAAUGACUCAUUCGGUGCCUUAC
rnacentral:misc_RNA from 1 species